GACGAACGCUGGCGGCGUGCUUAACACAUGCAAGUCGAGCGGUGAAAGAAGAGCUUGCUUUUCUGGAUCAGUGGCGAAGGGGUGAGUAUAACGUGAGUAUAACCCACCAAUCUCUGGGAUAAGAGCUCGAAACGGCGGAUAAUACAGGGUAUGAGACAUAGCACCGUAGCUACUAACUGGAAAGUUUUUCGGUCUGGGCUCGACUCGCGGCCUAUCAGCUUGUUGGUGAGGUAGCGGAUCACCAAGGCAACGACGGGUAGCCGGCCUGAGAGGGCGACCGGCCACACUGGGACUGAGACACGGCCCAGACUCCUACGGGAGGCAGCAGUGGGGAAUAUUGCACAAUGGGCGAAAGCCUGAUGCAGCGACGCCGCGUGAGGGAUGACGGCCUUCGGGUUGUAAACCUCUUUCAGCAGGGAAGAAGCGAAAGUGACGGUACCUGCAGAAGAAGCACCGGCUAACUACGUG
rnacentral:rRNA from 1 species